UAAUCUAUGUGUAAAAUUUAUUUUUGUUUUCACUGAAGACGCAUGCUGUUAUGUUGCUGUUUGUCAUACUGACUUUUUAACCAAACAGGUUGUAAAACAUGAUAUAGGGCAGUUUAUAAUUUAAGGGGUAAGGAACAUAGUGUCAUAAUAACUCGGAGCCAGACCUACAUAGUAUUUACUUGGGUUAUCAGAUAGUUUUGUCGGGUGCACAGGAGAAGAGAAUAGUUACAUCAGGGAAAACAGCUCUGCUAAGCAACCACAUAGUUCUACAGGAUGACUGACUAAAUAGCACAAUAAUUGUGGAUCGUUUUUUAUAACAUAUAUUCUGCCAUUUGCUAUCUGUCAGUCAGUAUUUGCCUCUUAACCCUUCCAAGUUGGAGAAAAAACAAGUCUAGUCUAUUUAUUCUAAUACCCUUCUUUUGGAAAUGAGUAUAUUCACAGCCAGAGGGAAUGGUAAAGCAAUUGCCCAAACUCAUUGUUUUCUUGGUCAACCUAGGCAGACUGCCAAUUGUGAAACCAUGGAAAUGUUAAAAAAAAAAAAAAAAAAAAGUCUAGAUAUUCAUUCCCAGAGCUGAAAUUGUUAGCAUAUCUGAAGCAUCUGUGUUGGUGGUAACUGUCAAACUUUGCAUUGCAAAAUUCAAAGCCAGAACUUGAGUGGGAUAUUAAAUAUGAGGAUUCUGUUCUCAAGCACUGUAAAAAGUAAAAAAGAAACUAAAUGCCCGAAGGCAAAUAUAUUGCACUGACAUUUGAAACUCUUCCAAUAGAUUUUAUUUAUUAUGCUUUUUAAAAACAGAGAAGUAGAAGUACACAUUUCAUUUUGCAAGGUGAGAUAUAGUCUCUCUAUGACAAUAAGAAUGUAAAAAUAAGGUAUUUUAUGUAUUGAAAUCCCAAUGAAUUUGAAAGUUGCAAAUGAUCUCUUUCAGAGGACCUCAGGACAAUAGUUUAAAGACCUCUGGUGACUAUAUAAUGAUUCAUAUCCAGAAAGUGCUUGAAAAUUGUUAAACACUGAUGGUUUGUAAUACAAGUUGAAAUAGUCCAAAUUGAAAUGACCUCUGGUGAAUUGGACUGGGGCUGAAAAAACUGUUUUGCCAGGGAUCACGUUAAGUGAGUGCUAGCAAGCAGAGAGACAGGUGUUUCCUGUUCCCAACCACAUGGCAUAACCAUAUAGAUUAGCUGCAGGGAAUCUAGCCAGAAUAUUUUUUUUAAACCUAAUUCAAUUUACCACCCCUCAUAUGGAAAUUGGUUUAGGUUUAAAUGAUAUCCUAAAUAAUUUGGAACUCAUAAUUAAGAUUUAUAUGCUUUUCUUUAUUCCUAAUAUAGCAAUACAGUACAAUAUCCCAGAAUCAUAAAUGAUAAUAACAGGAUGGGCUCUUGAACUAUCUCAUUCAAACUCUGUUAAUAUAGGCAUUCUCUCUACUCUUGCCCUGGAAGAUAGGCCACCAUCCUCUGCGUGAUCACUUCCAGUGCAGGGAAGGGAGGAAGAGAAACUCAAAGAUGAUUGAGAUAGACAAAUUCAGUCUUAUAGACACCUCUGAGGCUACUGUUUCUUGCUGACUGUUCAGAUAUUUAAACUAGAGUUAAAACAUUAAGUGCUGCAUAUGCAAAAUGAGAAAACCUCUUAUUUAUACAUCCUGCCUCUUUAAGUUGAGCAUAUAUUAAAUAUAUUAAUGCCAACUUGGAUUACCACACAAUAUUGCUUUUACAUUCCUCAAAGAAUUUUGUUAUGUCUAACGGAACACUAAAUUGGAAGGGAUGUUUUCUAGGGAUAGCACUAACAAUGACAUGCAGUGAUUAAGUGUUAUCUGUAUAUGUGUAGCUCUCAUUCCCAUGGAACACAGCCAUCAAUACACUCUGGGAUGCUGAGCAUUGCAGGGCCCUUAAGGGAGAGAAUUUCCAGAUUCUGUAUCACUGCCCUGCCACAUACUAUAGUAAAUCAUCUGAUUAGGUGUGUAAACGAGUGACAGAAUGAAAGAGGCUGACUGAGUUUUGUGGCACCCCAUUGGGUUAUAGAGGGGGUAGUCUUGGGGUGUCACAGAGGAGAGAAUGACAUAGGGAAUUUCUAAAAUAGCAUUUGCUACGGGUUGAAGACUGUGUGGAAAUGAUGGUCCCCCAAAGGAACAGAUUCCCCCCCCCCCCACAUAUUCUCUUCCUCUUAAGAACUAAAAAAUUACAACACUAUAUUAUCUGGGGUGCUAUGAAGGUUCUAAGAAAGAUGGAUAGGUCUUAUGCAUAAAUCUAGUGAUGGGACAGCACAGGUCAGUGUUCCAGUUUGUGGGAGUCGGAGACUCAUGAGUCAAAUCCCAGCACCACUACUUAAGUCCCAGACCUUUGGACAAUUUAUUCAGCUUCUCUGUGCCUCAAUUUCUUCAUCUAUAAAACAGAGAUAAUAAUCUGUAGUAAAUAGAGUUGAGGUGAUGAGUAAAUGAGUAUACUCUGGCACAGAGUUUUCACUUGGUGAAUGUAUUAUUUUUAUUAUUAUAAAAAUAUUCUUAAACGUCAUUAAGGGUGUUCUGUAUGUUUUGUUUAGUUUCCACUUAUAAGGGAACACACAUUUCUGGCUCUCUACUCUGCUUUGUGUGUAACUCUGGCUAUGAAACCCUAAAAGAUGUUGAGUAUUUUGGUGGAAGAGGCAGAGAUUUCCUUCUUUCCUCUUCUCUCUCUCUCUCUCCCCCCUCUACCUUGCCCCCAUCCUCUGCUCCCCCCUCUUUAUUCUUGCUGAGUCCUCAGUUUAGUGGGACCUCACAGUUAAGCACUGAGGAUCUGCCCACACAGGUAGUAAUUUCCUGGGCUGCAGGCUGAAAGCACAAAGACUGGCACGUGGUGGCUGGGACUUCCUCCACUCUGGACAGAUGGUAGGACUUCUAGAUGAAUAAAGAUAUGGUGUAUUUUCCAGGACUAAAUUAUCUUUGAGCUGUGAUCAAGCAUGAGAAAUUUCCACCCUGAGGAAAAAUAUUUGAAGGUUGCAAAAUGAAUCAUCAUAAAAUGUCAAAGGGUUCAAGCAAACGAAUUUUCAAAAAAUAAGUCUUCUGUUAUGAAUAAUGUUGGUCAGAACUCUUAGUUACAAAGACAGAAAUCAAUUUGUAACAACUUAAUCAAUAAUAAGUAAUGGAUCGGACAUAUAUUGUGGUAGCACAGAGAACUGAAAGACAAGACAGCUCCAAAGUCAGACCAGUUCAAACCAGGCAACAAAUGCCUGUAAGAUUCUAUCUAUCACUGGUUUCUAUUUCUUCCUGUAAGUCAUCUUUAUUAUCUUAACCAUAGAUGGACUUCUUCACGAGAUGGGGGUGGAAACAGCCAUCUGCAUCUCUGUCCUCAAACACUCUCACCUCUGAAGCUAGAGAAAGGGGACUACCUCUGCUGUUUAAAAAAAUCCUUUCAAAAGAUUCUGCCUUUCAAAAAAGGGCCAAUUUGGGGUACUUGCCAACAUGAACCACUAUGGCUGGGGGAAUAAAAUAU